rnacentral:rRNA from 1 species
GGUGAUAGUCCCGUACACGUAGAAUAGCAGAAGUCCUUGAGUAGGGCGGGACACGUGAAAUCCUGUCUGAACAUGGGUCGACCACGAUCCAAGCCUAAGUACUCGUGCAUGACCGAUAGCGAACCAGUACCGUGAGGGAAAGGUGAAAAGCACCCCGACGAGGGGAGUGAAACAGUACCUGAAACCGGAUGCCUACAAACAGUUGGAGCCCAAGGUUCGUCCUGGGUGACAGCGUACCUUUUGUAUAAUGGGUCAGCGACUUAGUGUAUCGAGCAAGCUUAAGCCGGUAGGUGUAGGCGCAGCGAAAGCGAGUCUGAACAGGGCGUUCAGUUCGAUGCAUUAGACCCGAAACCAAGUGAUCUAGCCAUGAGCAGGUUGAAGGUACGGUAACACGUACUGGAGGACCGAACCCAUAUCUGUUGCAAUAGAUCGGGAUGACUUGUGGCUAGGGGUGAAAGGCCAAUCAAACUUGGAGAUAGCUGGUUCUCCGCGAAAUCUAUUUAGGUAGAGCGUCGACCGAAUACCCCCGGGGGUAGAGCACUGGAUGGGCUAUGGGGACUCACCGUCUUACUGAUCCUAACCAAACUCCGAAUACCGGGGAGUACUAGUCGGCAGACACACGGCGGGUGCUAACGUCCGUCGUGGAGAGGGCAACAACCCUGACCACCAUCUAAGGUCCCUAAGUUAUGGCUAAGUGGGAAAGGAUGUGAGGAUCCCAAAACAACCAGGAUGUUGGCUUAGAAGCAGCCAUCAUUUAAAGAAAGCGUAACAGCUCACUGGUCUAAAUAAGGGUCUUUGCGCCGAAAAUGUACCGGGGCUCAAGCCAUACACCGAAGCUGUGGAUGCACUUAAUGUGCGUGGUAGCGGAGCGUUCCGUAAGCCUGUGAAGGGACAGUCGUGAGACAUCCUGGAGGUAUCGGAAGUGAGAAUGCUGACAUGAGUAACGAUAAAGGGAGUGAGAGACUCCCUCGCCGAAAGUCCAAGGGUUCCUGCUUAAAGUUAAUCUGAGCAGGGUUAGCCGGCCCCUAAGGCGAGGCCGAAAGGCGUAGUCGAUGGGAACCACGUUAAUAUUCGUGGGCCUGCAGGUAGUGACGGAUCGCGUGUGUUGUACGUUCUUAUUGGAUUGAACGUGCAGCGAAGCGGUUCCAGGAAAUAGCUCCUGCAUAUAGACCGUACCCUAAACCGACACUGGUGGACUGGUAGAGAAUACCAAGGCGCUUGAGAGAACUGCGUUGAAGGAACUCGGCAAAAUGCACGCGUAACUUCGGAAGAAGCGUGACCCUCAUAUGGGCAACCAUGUGGGGGUGGCACAGACCAGGGGGUAGCGACUGUUUACCAAAAACACAGGGCUCUGCGAAGUCGCAAGACGACGUAUAGGGUCUGACGCCUGCCCGGUGCUGGAAGGUUAAGAGGAGAUGUGCAAGCAUUGAAUUGAAGCCCC